UCAAAUUCAAAUGAGAAUGGUUUUGAGCAAAUUGGUUCAUCAGCUAUGUCGUGUAAUCUUGCGAGGUAAGGAUGGGCUAAUGCUUCUUCAACUGCAUUUAGAGAUAAAUUUUAUUUUAGCUUCAGCCUUCAAGAACACUAGGACGAGGGAAAGGUAAAUGAAUAGCAAAAUACUUAAAUACUCAAUCUAAUUGUUCGAGCAAGCUGUAUAUAUGUUGUUCAUCGGAAAAGUAAAUAAUCUUGCUAUAUGACAUUUUAUAGACUGUAUUGUAGUAUUGUAUUAGUUUUUCCCACAGAAACUCAAUAAUAGAGUUUAUUAAACCAUUUCAGAGACAAUCAAUGUAUGAAAAACAUUUGGAUUGCCAAGAAAUAUUUAAAGAACCAAACCCGACAAGUGUUUAUCCUUAACCUAUAUAUCUUUCAACUUUUUUACGAAAUUUUAACAUUCUGUACAUAUCUGAAUUGUAAAUCUUGUUUUCAUGCAGUAAGCACUAUAGCAUUACAGCCAGACAACUGAUCGUCGCCUACAUCAGUGCAUUGUCAGAGCUCUGCCUCUAUGUGAUUGAAUCACAUGUUUAAGUGACUUCUGGGGACUUGAGCAGAAAGAUAUUCCUAAUUCACUGUUUACAUUACUAUCUCAUCCACCAUAAGGAGUUCAUUUAUAAUUAAAAGCCAUCUAAGCUAUACAUUAACUUCAAUAUGCUAAAGUCUUUGUGAAAUAUAAUUAGCCGACUCAGAAUCAGAUAAUUUACC
rnacentral:lncRNA from 1 species